rnacentral:misc_RNA from 1 species
GAAAUGCGAUAAGUAAUGUGAAUUGCAGAAUUCAGCGAAUCAUCGAAUCUUUGAACGUACAUUGCGCCUAUUAGUAUUCUAGUAGGCAUGCCUGUUCGAGCGUCAUUUCAACCCUCAAGCCCUGGUUGCUUGGUGUUGGGAGCUUGCUGUGAAACGCAACUCCUCAAAGCUAGCUGGCAGAGUCGGGAUGCACUCUAAGCGUAGUAAACUUGAUAGUCUCGCUUCUGCAGUUGUCCCGGCCGUCUUGCCAUAAAAGCCCAAACUUUUUUGUUUUCUAUGGUUGACCUCGGAUCAGGUAGGAAUACCCGCUGAACUUAAGC